UCGCGUAGGCGGUUUGGUAAGUUCGGUGUGAAAUCCCCCGGCUUAACUGGGAGGGUGCGCCGAAAACUGCCGGGCUAGACGUGUGGGAUAGGGAAGGUGGAAGUUCCUGGUGUAGCGGUGAAAUGCGUAGAUAUCAGGAGGAACACCUGCGGUGUAGACGGCGUUCCUGGACCACUACUGACGCUGAGGCACGGAAAGCGUGGGGAGCAAACAGGAUUAGAUACCCUGGUAGUCCACGCCCUAAACGAUGCGGACUUGGUGUUGGCCCUUCAUUGGGUCAGUGCCGCAGCUAACGCGGUAAGUCCGCCGCCUGGGGAGUACGGUCGCAAAGGCUGAA
rnacentral:rRNA from 1 species